UUCUAUCGAGAUGGGACUAAAGUAUGCUAGUCGAACGACCAGAACUAUGUCUGGAAGUGGCACACUGCUCAGUAACACGUAGCUAACCUACCCUUAGGACGUGGAUACCCCCGAGAAAUUGGGGUUAAUCCGCGAUAGAUGUAAUGUCCUGGAAUGGUAUUACGUCUAAAGGUAUUUCAUACAUGUUUGAAAUAUGCCUAAGGAUGGGGCUGCGGCCGAUCAGGCUGUUGGUGAGGUAAUGGCUCACCAAACCUUUGACCGGUACGGGCCAUGAGAGUGGUAGCCCGGAGAUGGACACUGAGACAAGGGUCCAGGCCCUAAGGGGCGCAGCAACCGCGAAACCUCCACAAUGCACUCACGUGCGAUGGGGCUAUCUCGAGUGCCACCUGAUGAAGGUGGCUUUUCCUUGGUCUUCAAAGCCUUGGGAAUAAGAGGGGGGCAAGACUGGUGUCAGCCGCCGCGGUAACACCAGCCCCUCGAGUGGUGGGGAUGAUUAUUUGGCCUAAAGCGUCCGUAGCCGGCCGAGCAAGUCUUCCGUUAAAUCCAGCGUCUCAAGCGUUGGACCGCGGGAGAUACUACAUGGCUAGAGAGUGGGAGAGGUCAGCGGUAUUCUGGGGGUAGGGGCGAAAUCCUUUGAUCCCCGGAGGACCACCAGUGGCGAAGGCUGCUGACUAGAACACGUCUGACGGUCAGGGACGAAAGCUGGGGUAGCGAACCGGAUUAGAUACCCGGGUAGUCCCAGCCGUAAACGAUGCAUGCUAGGUGUUGGGUUGGCCACGAGCCACCCCAGUGCCGCAGGGAAGCCGUUAAGCAUGCCGCCUGGGAAGUACGAUCGCAAGAUUGAAACUUAAAGGAAUUGGCGGGAGCACCACCAGGCGUGAAGCCUGCGGUUUAAUUGGAGUCAACGCCGGGAACCUUACCGGGAGCGACAGCAGAAUGAAGGCCAGAUUGAAGAUCUUGCCAGACGAGCUGAGAGGAGGUGCAUGGCCGUCGCCAGUUCGUGCCGUGAGGUGUCCUCUUAAGUGAGAUAACGAACGAGACCCGUGCCACAUGUUGCCACCAGUAUCUAAAGGAUAGCUGAGCACUCUUGUGGGACCGCAGCCGAUAAGGCUGAGGAAGGUACGGGCAACGGCAGGUCAGUAUGCCCCGAAUCUCCCGGGCCACACGCGGGCUGCAAUGGUAUAGACAGAGGGCUGCCACCCCGAAAGGGGGAGCCAAUCCCUAAACUGUACCUCAGUUGGGAUCGAGGGUUGCAACCCACCCUCGUGAACAUGGAAUGCCUAGUAACCGCCAGUCAUCAUCUGGCGGUGAAUACGUCCCUGCUCCUUGCACACACUGCCCGUCGAACCACCCGAAUGAGGUUUGGGUGAGGAAUGGUCGAAUGUUGGCCGUUUCGAACCUGGGCCUCGUAAGGAGGGUUAAGUCGUAACAAGGUG
rnacentral:rRNA from 1 species